UACGGGGGGGGCAAGCGUUGUUCGGAAUUACUGGGCGUAAAGGGCUCGUAGGCGGCCAACUAAGUCGGAUGUGAAAUCCCCAGGCUCAACUUGGGAACUGCAUCCGAUACUGGAUGGCUUGAAUCCGGGAGAGGGAUGCAGAAUUCCAGGUGUAGCGGUGAAAUGCGUAGAUAUCUGGAGGAAUACCGGUGGCGAAGGCGGCAUCCUGGACCGGCAUUGACGCUGAUGAGCGAAAGCUAGGGUAGCAAACGGG
rnacentral:rRNA from 1 species